GACGAACGCUGGUGGCGUGCCUAAUACAUGCAAGUCGAGCGAGACUCUUCGGAGUCUAGCGGCGGACGGGUGAGUAACACGUGGGCAACCUGCCUGUAAGACUGGGAUAACACCGGGAAACCGGUGCUAAUACCGGAUAAUCCUUUUCCUCUCAUGAGGAAAAGCUGAAAGUCGGUUUCGGCUGACACUUACAGAUGGGCCCGCGGCGCAUUAGCUAGUUGGUGAGGUAACGGCUCACCAAGGCGACGAUGCGUAGCCGACCUGAGAGGGUGAUCGGCCACACUGGGACUGAGACACGGCCCAGACUCCUACGGGAGGCAGCAGUAGGGAAUCUUCCACAAUGGACGAAAGUCUGAUGGAGCAACGCCGCGUGAGCGAUGAAGGCCUUCGGGUCGUAAAGCUCUGUUGUCAGGGAAGAACAAGUACCGGAGUAACUGCCGGUACCUUGACGGUACCUAACCAGAAAGCCACGGCUAACUACGUGCCAGCCGCCGCCGUAACAC
rnacentral:rRNA from 1 species